CGGAAGCUCUGCCCGGACCCCCGGGUUCGCCCCGCGCCCGGACCCCGCGCCCCUGCCCGCCUCACGGAGCCGCGUGCGCAGCCGCGCUGCGGCCGCCAGGGGGCGCGGGCGGGGCGGGCGCGGCCAAGGACGACGCAGCAGCACCUGCGCUCGCGCGCUCCCGCCCCGCCGGCGCCCAUUGGCGCGCGCUCCCGCGAGGGGAGGCGGUUGGCUGGCACGCGCGUCAGUCCGCGCGCACGGCCCCGCCCCGCGGUCCCCAGCCGGGCCGGGCCGCGUCCUCGGCGGCGCUGAGGGCGCCUCCCUCACCGGGAGAGCUUGUGGGCAUUGCUGGGGGCAUCGAGCCCCGAACAGGAAUGUUAUGCUUUUAAACAAGAGAUAAAACUGCUGAAAGCCAGCAAUGGACUAAUGGAGAUGCGCAGCAAAAUGGGUUGAGAGCACAGCUGCCUUAUUCCACCUUGUUUUUGCACUGUCUUUGGUUUUGCUUCAGAGAUUACUACAUAUCUAAAUGGGUUUGUCAAAUUGGCAAAGAACAGACAGCCUCUGGUGGUAUGUGUUUGCAUCCUGAUUUAUCCACUUUGCUUCUGGCAGCCUUUGAAGGAGAUCUACUGCAGUGUGCCUAUGAACCUUCCACGCAAACAGAUAAGCUUCUUCACACCGUGGGCUGGUAUUAGCUCCUGUGUCACUUUGUGUGCAGAGUGAUGCGUUCUGCAGGUGGGGAAACACUUCAAAUGAUCAAGUGGACUUGACUUAAGAAGGAUAAUUGCUUCCUAUGGUUUUUGUGAAGGCAGCAAAACAAGUAGGAAUUUCUGUUUUCUGUUUUCAGCCAGUGCUGACUGAACUGAAACUUCCUGCAUCUUGUGGAGAGCAUGUAUAAAAGAAAUGACCUCAUGGCCAAUGUGAUGGUCACCUCCGCCACUCCAGAGGGUAGUAGCAGCUCAGAUUCUCUGGAAGGGCGAAGUUCAGAUUAUGCCAAUAAAAGCUACGAUGCAGUUAUAUUUGAUGUAUUGAAAGUAACUCCUGAAGAGUUUGCUAGCCAGAUAACAUUGAUGGAUAUGCCAGUAUUUAAAGCUAUACAACCUGAGGAACUAGCCAGCUGUGGAUGGAAUAAGAAAGAAAAACACACCCUCGCUCCAAAUAUUGUUGCCUUUACUAGGAGAUUUAACCAGGUCAGUUUUUGGGUGGUACGAGAAAUAUUAACAGCACAGACCUUAAAAAUAAGGGCAGAAAUACUGAGCCACUUUGUGAAAAUAGCUAAAAAGCUUCUGGAACUGAACAAUCUUCAUUCUCUUAUGUCUGUGGUGUCAGCACUGCAAAGCGCACCUAUCUUCAGGCUGACCAAAACUUGGGCUCUUUUGAAUCGGAAAGACAAAACCACCUUUGAGAAGUUAGACUAUUUACUAUCUAAGGAAGAUAAUUAUAAAAGGACACGAGAGUACAUCAGAAGCUUAAAAAUGGUGCCUACAAUUCCAUAUUUAGGAAUUUAUCUCUUGGAUUUAAUCUACAUUGAUUCUGCAUAUCCUGCUUCAGACAGCAUAAUGGAGAAUGAACAAAGAUCCAAUCAAAUGAACAAUAUUCUCCGAAUAAUAGCUGAUCUGCAAGUAUCCUGCAACUAUGAUCAUCUCAUAACACUUCCCCAUGUGCAAAAGUAUUUGAAGUCUGUCCGUUACAUCGAAGAACUUCAGAAAUUCGUAGAAGAUGACAAUUACAAAUUAUCUUUAAGAAUUGAGCCAGGUAACAGCUCUCCUCGACUGGUUUCCUCCAAAGAAGAUCUUGCAGGUCCGUCUGACAUGUCAGCAAUUAUGAAAUUCAGCAGGAGACCUACAUGUCCUGAUGCCUCAGUAGCAGCAAGUCUACCUACACCUCCUGUACCAAGGCACCGGAAGAGUCACAGCCUGGGAAACAAUAUGAUGUGUCAGUUGAGCGUCGUGGAGAGCAAAAGCGCCACCUUCCCGACGGAGCGGCCACGGCACCUGCUGGACGACAGCGUCCUGGAGUGUCACAGCCCAGCGCGCGGCCACGCGCCCAGCACGCGCCUGGCCAACGGGCUCUCCAUAGAUAGCAGUGAAAGCUCAGAAUUUAGUGAGGAGCUGCCGUCAGGGCUUGAAAGGGGUCGUUUAUAUGCCACGCUGGGGCCUAACUGGAGGGUACCGAUCCGGAAUUCUCCUCGGAGUCGAAGCUGUAUCUACAGCCCAACGAGUAUGUGCAGCUGCACGGCAGGUGAUUACACAGGAGUCAUUACCAUGGAAGGGCCUUUAAGAAGAAAAACAUUGCUCAAAGAAGGCAAGAAACCUACUCUCUCCUCGUGGACUAGAUACUGGGUCAUGCUUUCAGGAUCAACUCUUCUGUACUUCGGAGCAAAAGCUUUAAGAGGCACUGAAAGAAAACAUUAUAAGUCUACACCUGGGAAAAAAGUCUCCAUUGUGGGCUGGAUGGUGGCCCUGCCUGAUGACCCAGAGCAUCCUGAUAUUUUCCAGCUAAAUAACCCUGACAAAGGUAGAUGUAAGAUGGACAUUUGUAAGACGGAUGUAUUGUGAGAUGGACAAUGAAUUGUCUGCAUUACAUUUCUAUGACAGGAAGUACAUUAAUAUGUAUUAAUGAGCUUGUAGAUUACAGAAUUUGCACUGGCACUCAUAAAAGACUGAAGAGGGAGAUCUUCAAUACAGAAUUUUCAAGAGAAGGUACAGAUUAAAUGGAACGUAUUUCUACAGUAUGGUGUGGUGCUUCUGUGGUGCCUCCAGAGAGAUUCCUUUCUUUUAACAGUUACUGUUAAGUUUUGCAGAAAUUCCUCAUCCAAUAUGAGAUUGCAGCAUGUCCAUUUGUCUCCAUACAUAGAUCUCCAAGUCUCUGAAUAGCUUCCUUAAAAUCAGUCAGUAUCUGUCAAAUCUUGACUUACACUGAGGCCAAUUAAAAUAUCAAACCAUUUGCCAAAAUAAGUCUGCUAAGUAAUUGUUACUUUUUAAUAAUUAAUUUUGCAGUGCCAUAACUCUUUUCCCUUGAUUAAACUUCAAAAACUUCAAAAGAUAAGAGAACUCCUGGAGUUAUUUUGCACUUUGAGUGUUUGCUUACAGGUUCUUGAAGCUUUCUUCAGUUUCCAUGUUUUCAGCCUUGAUGCUGCAUAUGGAAGUCCCAUCUACUGUGUGAAGUGCAUCAUCCGGGUGUUAACUAAAAUGCACAAAAUAUUUGAUUGCAGGAAACAGUUUGCAGUAGGACUUUGAAGAAAACUAAGUUUACAAAUAUGAAAAACUUUAUCAGAAGCCUUGAUGAGAAGAAAGCCAGGACUAAAUUAAUCUGACCUGCGGCGUAUGAAUGAUGCACAGUCCCCAGUUGUGGCAAUGUUUACAAGUUUCAGACUGGUUCAAGGUUUCAUGCAAUAUUAUGGCAUAAACAUUUGGAUGACGCAUGCAAAAGCAACAAGCCUCAGGUACCUGCUAAUCUAAUGUCAUUCGAAUAAUUUCCUCUCCUACCUGGUGUGACUCAAGUGCCAAACUGAAGAAACAGGUUAUUGUUCUCUAAGGAGGAAGAGGAGAAUGGUUUUCCUGACAUGAGCCAGCCACAGAUAUUUCAGCACUUUCCUAUGUAACUUGAAAGUGAUUCUGACACAGCUUUUAAAACCAGAAAGUGAAUGUUGUCCCUAGGACCAGAUCAAGUCUCAUGCACUGAAUGAAAGCAGACAAGUUAGAUGGACAGAAGAUUAAUCCUGACUCCGGCAGGAUUCUGAGGACUCAACUAUUUGUGGUCAGAGACUGCAUGAACUGAUACUUGACCACAAACUGAGCAUCAUAUCUUCUGCCUAUUCUUUUUUAAAUGGUUCUUUUUAUUGUUAAGCUGCUUUGUGUGACUGAAGAAUAUUUGGCCCAUGUUGGGUUUCAGUUCUUUCUAAUGCACAGAACAAUUGACAGUGUUAACUUGCUCCAAAGUGUCAAUUAGAAUAGAAAAUUGUGGAAUAACAUUUUUAUAAUCUAAGUGCACUGAGUUGCUUGGCAGUGUGGCUGCCUCAAAUAUUCUGUCAAAUCUGUGGACAAUUCUGCUGUUCAUAUUUGAGCUAUUUGGGAAAAAUGUAUUUUGGCAUAGGACAGUUGGUUUUCAUUCAGUCAUUUUGUUCAGGAAAACCCUGGUUAUGGAUUUAAGGCUGUUUAAAUUUGUCUUGUGCUGAAGUUUGUCUUUCAUUCUUUUACCAGUGGCAUAGUUGAUUAUAAAUCUGGUGUUUUGGUUCAGUCUGAACGUUGUUAAUUUCAAAUCCCUUAGUACAGGGAAGCAGGUAAUCAGGUGUUAUAUAUCACAAGGUCCUGGCUCCUCAGAAUGACUCCAUAUCCUUGUUUCUGUUCUGUCCUUCUGUGGACAACUUGGCUCCACUCAAUUCCAGUAUGUGUUGCAACUUCAGGACAUUACUACUGGUAGAUGGUACUGCUAUUAUAAAAUCAUGGUGGCAGUGAAAGACUGUCUAACAGUGGAGCAAGUACAAAGAAGUCUCCACAUCAAUAUCCAGAGAACAAAUGAACAAACAAAAGAAGUGUAACUGGGCCUUCUCCUCUGAAGGAACUCUGUAUGCUGUAUUCCUGCUGUGCCCUGGCACUCCUGCAGUCAGAAUAAUUUUCUGUUCAUGUUAAAUUCAUCAAUUCAUCACUUUUUCUCCCUUGCACUAGCAGUAUUUAUUCUGUGGACUUCCAUGAUUUUCUACAUUUUUAUUUUGAAACUUCUCUAACAAAAAGGAGAAGAAAAUACCUGUACUGUUAAAUGUCAAAAGUAAAUUUUUUGUACUUUUAAGAGUUCAUGUUACAAUCCUGAGAGCCUAAUACGUACCAGCUUUUCAAGAAAACCAGGUAAUGAUGACAAUUGCAUUUAAAUCCUGGGACAUGGGAAAGUGUAUGUAAAGCUGACAAAGUUUAUUUGAUAACUGAGGAACUGUGUGAAAAGAGUGGUAAUGCAAAAUAUAUUUGUAUAGUUUUUCUCUUUUUUUGCUAAUUGAAGACAACAUUGAACUAGGAAAAACAUGGCUAUCUGCAAGGGCAGUGUAUCUAAUGCUAAUCUAAUUCAAACUUUUGAAUGUGGUAACAUCCUGUCACCAGUGAAUGUCAGACUGUUAGACUAUGAUAUAGUCUGAAUUAUUCCGCACCUGCAGAUCUCUGUGAUUAGUCAUCAGUGAGAUUAAACAUCUUUUCAGUAUAGCACAAUUCUGAAGAUGCUGCACAGUAUUGAUAAAUUUGGAUUGAUGGCAGUGAAAGAAUACUAGUAAAACAUCUUUAAAUUAGUCUUCAACUAUUAAACAGUUUGUAGCUGCUGAUUAGAGGUGUUAUGCCAUUUGGUAGCGUUUGCGUGCGUACGUGGUACGUCUAUGGUUCAUUGAAAGCUGCUGUUGAAAUACAAUAUGUUGCCUAUCACUACGGAUUAUUACAGCAUUUUCACAAAAAAUAUCUCAAACUAUACAAGUUUUCCUCCAUCAAAGAGAACAACUGCAAAAGUAAAAGUAAACAUUAUGUCAUAAUUAUAUAUAAUUUUCAGAAUUGUGAAGAUAUAACAACUACGAGUAAUAUUAUUGGUUUAUUAAAUGUGCAAUUUUGAUGUAAUUCAGUGCCAAAAUGCAUGUUUUUCCAAAUAGGACUAAAAUGAGGCAAAGAAACUAGUUUUCAAAAUGAGACUGACUUGUCACAUUAUGAUGUUAAUCAAUUUCAACGUUUUGGUUUGUUUUGUGUGGAAACUGUUGCACUAUUUUUGGCUGUGUUUUCCAGCAGUCCACUGCAUGCCAUUUGUGUAAAGGAUUCUUUCUAUAAUUCUUGUGAACUGUCCCACGUGUAAGAACUCUGGCGUUGGAAUCUAGGUUUUUGGCAAAGUAUUUUGUUACCUCAGUCUUGUAUCAAGUUGCUGGAUUUUUCAGUUUGAUACAUUGAUAAUAAUGAUUGUUUUGCUAAUUAAAUACUUAAAUGUAAAAAAAGUUUGUUUACUACAACAGUAAUAGCAUUUGGUUGUAAGUUUAAAAAUGUGCAGGGUAUGUAUGCUGUUGACAAUAAAAUAUUCUGAAAAAGAA